AAGGACUACCAGGGUUUCUAAUCCUGUUUGCUCCCCACGCUUUCAUGCCUCAGCGUCAGUUACAGUCCAGUAAGUCGCCUUCGCCACUGGUGUUCUUCCUAAUCUCUACGCAUUUCACCGCUACACUAGGAAUUCCACUUACCUCUCCUGCACUCUAGACACCCAGUUUCAAAUGCAGCACCCAAGUUAAGCUCGGGUAUUUCACAUCUGACUUAAAUGUCCGCCUACGCAUCCUUUACGCCCAGUAAAUCCGGACAACGCUUGCCACCUACGUAUUACCGCGGCGGCUGGCACCC
rnacentral:misc_RNA from 1 species